rnacentral:rRNA from 1 species
AACGAACGCUGGCGGCAGGCCUAACACAUGCAAGUCGAGCGCGCCCUUCGGGGUGAGCGGCGGACGGGUGAGUAACGCGUGGGAACGUGCCCUUUGCUACGGAAUAGCCCCGGGAAACUGGGAGUAAUACCGUAUGUGCCCUUCGGGGGAAAGAUUUAUCGGCAAAGGAUCGGCCCGCGUUGGAUUAGGUAGUUGGUGGGGUAAUGGCCUACCAAGCCGACGAUCCAUAGCUGGUUUGAGAGGAUGAUCAGCCACACUGGGACUGAGACACGGCCCAGACUCCUACGGGAGGCAGCAGUGGGGAAUCUUCCGCAAUGGACGAAAGUCUGACGGAGCGACACCGCGUGAUUGAUGAAGUCCCUCUGGGACGUAAAGAUCUUUUAUGAGGGAAGAAGUUUAUUGACGGUACCUCAUGAAUAAGGGGCUCCCAAUCUCGUGCCAGCCGCCGCCGUAAGAC